rnacentral:lncRNA from 1 species
GUAAGAGACUAAUCACACCCCGAAGUUAGUUUUAUUCCUGAAAUUCGACGGCAACCUGCUGUCUCAAAUUGGUUCUCUGUCAUUCUGAAGAAACAUUGUGUAUAACUUUCAAGGGAAAACUGAACACAAAAUAUUUCAUAUGGUAAAAAGCAAUGUCAGAAUAGCAAUCAUAAUUUCUGUAAAAUUUGUGAGGCAGCUAAAACAGUUGAACACAUCUUUCAAACUGCAUUCGAUGUGCCUCCUUCUGCACAUAUAUUCCAAUGUGAAUUGCAGUUUGCUCUUGGCAUGAUUUGAGGCGACUGAACGACCUCCUCAUCAGCCAACAUGGAUUGCAUCAUCGUUGGGAAUUGGGAAGAGUGGAACUUCAACAUGGAUGGAGAUUCAAAAGAGACUGGUUGGAGCACUUUAGACGAUUUCCUGCAUGAAGAUUACAAAUUAGAUUAGAUAGGAGGAAGAGGAUGGGUGAGGAGGAACCACGCUAAGGCUUUGUUCCUUGGCCGGCUAGAUUGGGGGAGAAAGAAGUCCGCAAGGGAGAUGUUUUUUUGUGCUAUAAGAGGAACCUGGACAUCAACCUGAAUCUAGCGACCGGAGCCGCCGCCGGACCAGUAGCAGGUAGCCGCGUCGUCCCUACUCUUCAUCUCACCUCAUCUCUUCUUCCUCGGAGAUGGAGCCUCCAUGGCCAUGGAGCACCGUCGCUGCCUAUCUCCGUGGCCAUGGAGCAACGUCGCUGUCGGCCUCCAUUACUCGCCGCCGACGUCCGCGGCUUCCCUGCCGUCCCUCACCUCUCGGAGCCUUGCCGUCGUCGUCCUCCGUCGUGUCCCGAUCGGAUCGUCGCUGGAUAUGCUUGAUCUGCAGUCGAACGUGUACAAAGGGUUGA